CGUCCCUUUUUCUAGUGGUGUAAUUCUACGUCGUAAACUUUGUACUUGUUCUCAAAGAUAUCUUUAAGAUGGCAGUAUGCAUUGUGAACAUUUCAAUUCUGAUGAAUUUCAUUUUGUAUUCUGAGUUCGUGUACCUUGGUGUGGGCAGUUUUAACCUUUCCCCAGCCAUAGCAAAGUGAGAAUGGCUUUUGCAACCAGCAGGAAACCAGAACAGCCUGCGAAAAACUCGCAUUCUGUUCUGGUUUUAUGCUGUUUGCUGCUCAUUAGUAUCUAAGGGUUGGAAAUGAAGCCCAUGAACACUCAAAAUCAACAAAUAUUUCGAAAAAUAAAGGUCACACAUACCAAAUAAAUGUUGCUUAUAGCAUUAGCCAAACUUUUAACAAUAGAUGUGAUAUAGUAACAUAGAUUAAAUGCAAUACAAAAUGCUAGUUUUUGUUUGGUCAUAAUAUAUUUCAUGUGCUGCGAUAACCGUACAUUUAUGAGAGAAUGAGAUAUUGGUUUCGGGCAGCUCGGGAAGUACAACAUAGUUCUCGUGAAUACGUUGUUCUUCCGAUGCUGCCCAUAGCCAGUCUUGCAUUUGCUUGUAAGUGUUCGGAUAUGUAGGUGGGAAAUUAACAUGGAAUAUAUUGUAGCACGAAAAAUAAAAACGAGCAUUUUCUCGUUAAAUCUAUGUUAAAAUACCACAUCUAACUUUGAAAUUUUGGUUAUUGCAAUAAGGAACACUGAUUUUUAGCGAGGCUGUUUUUGGAGAAAACCUGAGCUAUUGUCACAGCCAGCUCGUCCGCCGUCCGCUGUAGGAGUCGUGCUAAAACCUUAACAUUGCCUCUAAAAUCAAAGUGCUUCCACCUACAACUUUGAAACUUCAUAUGUAGAGGCACCUUAAUGAGUUCUACAUGCCACACCCAUUUUUGGGUCACUAGGUCAAAGGUCAAGGUCACUGUGACCUCUAAUAUAAAACUUUAACAAAAACCUUAACAUUGCCUCUAAAAUCAAAGUGCUUCCACCUACAACUUUGAAACUUCAUAUGUAGAUGCACCUUGAUGAGUUCUACAUGCCACACCCAUUUUGGGUCACUAGGUCAAAGGUCAAGUCACUGUGACUCCUAAAAAAAAAAAUAUAUAUUUUAUGACAAGCUUUUGCAGCCGAGCGUGGCCCCCGUUUAUGCGGUGCUCUUGUUUAUGUCCCCCACCACAAUAAGUGGGGGACAUAUUGUUAUUGCCCUGUCUUUUGGUUUGUUUGUUUGCUCCAACUUUAACAUUUUGCCAUAACUUUUGCAAUAUUGAAGAUAGAAACUUCAUAUUUGGCAUGCAUGUGUAUCUCAUGAAGCUGCACAUUUUGAGUGGUGAAAGGUCAAGGUCAUCCUUCAAGAUCAAAGAUCAAA